rnacentral:rRNA from 1 species
CGCCUUGCCAGCCCGCUCAGAAACUCAAAGGAAGUUGACGGGGCCCGCACAAGCGGUGGAGUAUGUGGUUUAAUUCGAUGCAACGCGAAGAACCUUACCUGGUCUUGACAUCCCGGAGACCCUUAGGAAACUAGGGGGUGCUUCCAUCUGGAGAAUCUGGAGACAGGUGCUGCAUGGCUGUCGUCAGCUCGUGUCGUGAGAUGUGGGUUAAGUCCCGCAACGAGCGCAACCCUUGCCUUUAGUUGCCAGCAGUUCGGCUGGGCACUCUAAAGGGACUGCCGGUGUUAAACCGGAGGAAGGUGGGGAUGACGUCAAGUCCUCAUGGCCUUUAUGACCAGGGCUACACACGUACUACAAUGGCCGAUACAAAGGGCAGCGACACUGCGAGGUGAAGCCAAUCCCGUAAAAUCGGUCUCAGUCCGGAUUGGAGUCUGCAACUCGACUCCAUGAAGUUGGAAUCGCUAGUAAUCGUGGAUCAGCAUGCCACGGUGAAUACGUUCCCGGGCCUU